GGCUCUGGGAGAGAGAGGAUGCAGGACCAAGACCCGAGAAGAAGCCUGCGUCUGGGCCUGGGUGGGACGGAUUCAGGCGCGCAGCAACAACAGGGUGCCUGGCACAAGGAGAUACUCAGUAAAACUCUCAUCUGCUGUGUCAUUAAGGGGAACACUUAAUGGCUCACGCCUGUAAUCCCAGCACUUUGGGAGGCCGAGGCGGAAGGAUCACCUGAGCCCAGGAGUUGGAGACCAGCCUGGGCAACAGAUUGAGACCCUGUCUCAACAAAGAAGAAGAAGAAGAAAAAGGCCAGGCGCCGUGGCUAAUGUCUGUAAUCCCAGCACUUUGGGAGGCCAAGAAGGGAGAACUGCUUGAGGCCAGGAGUUCGAGACCAGCCUGGUCAACAUAGCGAGACACCCCCCCCAUCUCAAAAAUAAAUAAAUCAAAAUAAAAAAUAAAGAGGAGGCCGGGCUUGGUGGCUCACGCCUAUAAUUCCAGCACUUUGGAAGGCCGAGGUAGGUGGAUCACGAGGUCAGGAGUUCAAGACCAGCCUGGCCAAGAUGCUGAAACCCCAUCUCUACUAAAGAUACAAAAAGUUAGCCGGGCGUGGUGGCACACGCCUGUAAUCCCAGCUACUCGGGAGGUGGAGGCAGGAGAAUUGCUUGAACCUGGGAGAUGGAGGUUGCAGUGAGCCGAGAUCACGCCAUUGCACUCCAGCCUGGGCGACAGGGCAAGACUCCAUCUCAAAAAUAAUAAAUGCCGGGCGCGAUGGUUCAUGCCUGUAUUUCCAGCACUUUGGGAGGCCAAGGCGGGCAGAUCACAAGGUCAGGAAUUCGAGACCAGCCUGGCCAAUAUGGUGAAACCCUGUCUCUACUAAAAAUACAAAAAAAAAUAGCCGUGGUGGUGGGUGCCUGUAGUCCCAGCUACUUGGGAGGCUGAGGCGGGAGAAUUGCUUG
rnacentral:lncRNA from 10 species